UACGUAGGGUGCAAGCGUUGUCCGGAAUUAUUGGGCGUAAAGAGCUCGUAGGCGGCUUGUCGCGUCGGCUGUGAAAACUCGGGGCUCAACCCCGAGCCUGCAGUCGAUACGGGCAGGCUAGAGUCCGGCAGGGGAGACUGGAAUUCCUGGUGUAGCGGUGAAAUGCGCAGAUAUCAGGAGGAACACCAAUGGCGAAGGCAGCUCGCUGGGACGUGACUGACGCUAAGACGCGAAAGCGUGGGGAGCAAACAGG
rnacentral:rRNA from 1 species